UGUAAGAAAACGCUGAGUCCUGCAGCAGCAGGAACGGGGGAACCAACGAACGAUUCGUGUGUCAUCACGACUUCGCUUCAUGGGGUGAAUCGCUUGAAAAUGAUCAAGCGUAGGGCAACUCUCAAGGCCCGAAUCCGACAGCUAACCUCGUAAGUGUACUCGAGAGAGGCA
rnacentral:sRNA from 2 species